rnacentral:rRNA from 2 species
GUCCUUUAGGUAAAAUGAUUUAAGGUCUGACCUGCCCACUGAAUUUUUUUAAUGGCCGCAGUAUUUUGACUGUGCAAAGGUAGCAUAAUCAUUAGUUUUUUAAUUAAAAGCUUGUAUGAAUGGUUGGACGAAAUAAAAACUGUCUCUGUAUAAUAAUUAGAAUUUAAUUUUUAAGUUAAAAAGCUUAAAUUUUAUUAAAAGACGAGAAGACCCUAUAGAUCUUUAUAAUAAGUUUUUAUAUUUUUAUUAAAGAUUUUUUUAUUUAUUAUAAUUGUUAUUAUUUUAUUGGGGUAAUAGGAAGAUUAAUAAAAUUCUUUUUUAUUUUUACCAUUAAUUAAUGAUUAUGUGAUCCUUGAUAUUGAUUAUAAGAUUAAGUUACCUUAGGGAUAACAGCGUAAUUUUUUUAGAGAGUUCAUAUCGAUAAAAAAGUUUGCGACCUCGAUGUUGGAUUAAAAAUUAUUUUGGGUGUAGAAGUUCAAAUUUUUGGUCUGUUCGACCAUUAAAUUUUU